CGUGAGCAACCUGCCUUUGUGUGGGGGAUAACGUCUGGAAACGGACGCUAAUACCGCAUAAUGCUGAGAUACCGCAUGGUAAUUCAGCCAAAGAUUUAUCGCACAGAGAUGGGCUCGCGGCUGAUUAGCUAGUUGGUGAGGUAACGGCCCACCAAGGCGACGAUCAGUAGCCGGACUGAGAGGUUGAUCGGCCACAUUGGGACUGAGACACGGCCCAG
rnacentral:rRNA from 1 species